rnacentral:lncRNA from 1 species
GUGGAUCACGAAGUCAGGAGUUCGAGACCAGCCUGGCCAAUAUGGUGAAACCCCAUCUCUACUAAAAAAUACAAAAAUUAGCCAGGCAUGGUGGUGCGUGCCUGUAGGUCUCAGCUACUUGGGAGGCGGAGGUUGCAGAGAGCCUAGAUCGUACUACUACACUCCAGCCUAAGUGACAGAGUGAGACUCCAUCUCAAAAGAAAAAAAAAAAAAGGCGGUUUUAAGGAGUGCUAACCUCCAGUAAGAUCUCUUCAGUACACACAGAUCUGUUCACUGAGCUAUUAUUAUUCAACAUAAAUAUGAUAUGCUAUUUCAGGCCCUGAUAACAGGCUAAACAUUGCUUAUUGAAACAGGUGACGUAGCACACGCCAUUACAUCUAAAACACCAAGACUGGGUUGGUGAGUCCAGGUUACCCUUGAACAACUUGGGGGUUAGAGGCCCUGACUCCCCACACAGUUGAAAAUCCAUGUGUAACUUUUUGUUUUUUGUUUUUUUUUUUUUUUUGAGACAGGGUCUUGUUCUGUUAACCAGGCUAGGGUGCAAUGGCAUGAUCUCAGCUCACGGAAACCUCCGCCUCCUGUGCUCAAGUGAUCCUCCCAUCUCAGCCUCUCAAGUAGCUGAGACCACAGGAAUGCACCACCGUGCCUGGCUAAUUUUUCUAUUUUUUUGUAGAGAUGGGGUUUCGCCAUGUUGCCCAGGCUGGUCUCAAACUCCUGAGUUCAAGCGAUCUGCCUGCCUCAGCCUUUCAAAAUGCUGGGACUACAGGCGUGACCCACUGUGUCUGGCCCCCAUGUAUAACUUCUGACUCCCCAAAAACUCGAUUACUAAUAACUUACUAUGGACCAGAACCCUUACCUAUAACAUAAAGUCGAUAAUACAUAUCUUUUUUUUGAGAGACAGACCAAGUCUCACUCUGUUGCCCAGGCUGAAGUGCAGUGGUGUGAUCUCGCCUUACUGCAGCCUCUGCCUCUCGGGUUCAAGCGAUUCUUCUGCCUCAGCCUCCUGAGUAGCUGGGAUUACAGGCGUGCACCAGCACAUAGGCUAAUUUUUGUAUUUUUAGUAGAGACGGGGUUUCACCAUGUUGGCCAGGCUAGUCUUGAACUCCUGACCUCAGGUGAUCUGUCCGCCUCGGCUUCCCAAAGUGCUGGGAUUACAGGGGUGAGCUACCAUGCCAGGCCAAUAACACAUAGCUUGUAUGCGUAUUAUAUAGUGUAAUCUUACAUUAAAGCUAUAGAGGCCAGGCGCAGUGGCUCACCCAAUAUGGCUUUUUAAUGUCUUUUUUGGGCAAUCUUUUCCACUUAGGGGCAGUUGGUGCUAAUACAUAUUGCUAUUACCAGAGCUGGCAGUAGGGUCCAUCUCAUUGAAACAAGUGACUUAGCAUGGACCCAUAUAUAUCUGUCAUAAAAAAUAGGCUUUUCUUUCAAGAUCAAAAAAUAAGGGGAAUUUUGUUCAUAUUUGGGAACUAUAGUGAUGCAGGGCUGCGGUCAACAUCUGGACAGCAUAAGUCUCCACACUAGAGGGGAGUGUGGGGCUCCCAUUCACAGGACAAACCCCAUGGGUUUGUAGAUUUAAGAUGAUAAUUUUCUGGCAGGCAUUCAGUGAAGUGUCUUUUCCUAACAAAUGUAAUUAAAACAAUUUUCUUUUUUUUUUUUUUUGGAGACGGAGUCUCAUUCUGUCACCCAGGCUGGAGUGCAGUGGCAGGAGGUUCAAGCAAUUCUCCUGCCUCAGCCUCCCAAGUAGCUGGGAUUACAGGCGCAUGCCACCACACCAGGCUAAUUUUUGUAUUUUAGUAGAGACGGGGUUUCACCAAGUUGGCCAGGCUGGUCUCAAACUCCUGACCUCAGGUGAUCCACCCGCCUCAGCCUCCCAAAGAGAUGGGAUUACAGGUGUGAGACCCCACACCCGGCAAAACAAUUUUCUGACAGAUGGAAGUUAAAGGUGUGAAGAGCACCUUUUCCUAACUUGCAUAAAGAUCUAUGGAAAUGCCACCCAGCAGUCUCAAAGUAAGGAGAGGAGCCUGCCUCCUAGGACCUGCCCUUUCAAAUGAAUAUGGAAGCCCUGAUGUAGCACUCGUGAGAUUUUACUGUCUGAGCAUGUUUUGUUGUUGUUUGGUUUCAGACAGAGUCUUGCCUGUUGCCCAGGCUGGAGUGCAAUGGCAUGAUCUCGGCUCACUGCAACCUCUGCCUCCUGGGUUCGAGUCAUUCUUCUGCCUCAGCCUCCUGAAUAGCUGGGAUUACAGGCGUGAGCCACCACGCCUGGCUAAUUUUUUGUAUCUUUAGUAGAGACGGGGUUUCACCAUAUUGGCCAGGCUGGUCUCAAACUCCUGAUCUCGUGAUCCACCCACCUCGGGCUCCCAAAGUGCUGGGAUUACAGGCGUGAGCCACCGUGCCUGGUCAUCUGUGGUUC